UUGAGUCUGAUGAAUCAUUAGG
rnacentral:miRNA from 3 species